UACAGCCAUAUCACAUUGAAACACUGGUUCCUAUAUGACCACCAAAGUUAAGCAAUAUUGAGUCUGGUCAGUACAUAGAUGGGUGACUGCUUGUGAAUACCAGGU